rnacentral:rRNA from 1 species
AUUGAACGCUGGCGGCAGGCCUAACACAUGCCAGUCGAACGGUAACAGGAAGAAGCUUGCUUCUUUGCUGACGAGUGGCGAACGGGUGAGUAAUGUCUGGGAAACUGCCUGAUGGAGGGGGAUAACUACUGGAAACGGUAGCUAAUACCGCAUAACGUCGCAAGACCAAAAAGGGGGACCUUCGGGCCUCUUGCCAUCGGAUGUGCCCAGAUGGGAUUAGCUAGUAGGUGGGGUAACGGCUCACCUAGGCGACGAUCCCUAGCUGGUCUGAGAGGAUGACCAGCCACACUGGAACUGAGACACGGUCCAGACUCCUACGGGAGGCAGCAGUGGGGAAUAUUGCACAAUGGGCGCAAGCCUGAUGCAGCCAUGCCGCGUGUAUGAAGAAGGCCUUCGGGUUGUAAAGUACUUUCAGCGGGGAGGAAGGGAGUAAAGUUAAUACCUUUGCUCAUUGACGUUACCCGCAGAAGAAGCACCGGCUAACUCCGUG